CAAUAGCGUAUAUUAAAGUUGUUGCGGUUAAAAGCUAGUAGUUGGAUUUCUGCUGAGGACGAUCGGUCCGCCCUCUGGGUGAGCAUUGACUCGGCCUUGGCAUCUUCUUGGAGAACGCUACUGCACUUGACUGUGUGGUGCGGUAUCCAGGACUUCUACUUUGAGGAAAUUAGACAGUUUCAAGCAGGCACACGCCUUGAAUUCAUUAGCAUGGAACAACAAGAUAGGACCUUGGUUCUAUUUUGUCGGUUUCUAGAGCUGAGGUCAUGAUUAAUAGGGAUAGUUGGGGGCAUUCGUAUUUGACUGUCAGAGGUGGAAUUCUUGGAUUUGUUAUAGACGGACUACUGCGAAAGCAUUUGCCAAGGAUGUGUUCAUUGAUCAAGAGAGUAAGUUAGGGGAUCGAAGACGAUUAGAUACCAU
rnacentral:rRNA from 1 species